rnacentral:rRNA from 1 species
UUACCCCGCUGAAACUUAAGCAUAUCAAUAAGCGGAGGAAAAGAAACCAACAGGGAUUGCCCUAGUAACGGCGAGUGAAGCGGCAACAGCUCAAAUUUGAAAUCUGGCUCUUUCAGAGUCCGAGUUGUAAUUUGCAGAGGGCGCUUUGGCUUUGGCAGCGGUCCAAGUUCCUUGGAACAGGACGUCACAGAGGGUGAGAAUCCCGUACGUGGUCGCUAGCUAUUGCCGUGUAAAGCCCCUUCGACGAGUCGAGUUGUUUGGGAAUGCAGCUCUAAAUGGGAGGUAAAUUUCUUCUAAAGCUAAAUAUUGGCCAGAGACCGAUAGCGCACAAGUAGAGUGAUCGAAAGAUGAAAAGCACUUUGGAAAGAGAGUCAAACAGCACGUGAAAUUGUUGAAAGGGAAGCGCUUGCAGCCAGACUUGCUUGCAGUUGCUCAUCCGGGCUUUUGCCCGGUGCACUCUUCUGUAGGCAGGCCAGCAUCAGUUUGGGCGGUGGGAUAAAGGUCUCUGUCACGUACCUCUCUUCGGGGAGGCCUUAUAGGGGAGACGACAUACCACCAGCCUAGACUGAGGUCCGCGCAUCUGCUAGGAUGCUGGCGUAAUGGCUGUAAGCGGCCCGUCUUGAAACACGGACCAAGGAGUCUAACAUCUAUGCGAGUGUUUGGGUGUCAAGCCCGAGCGCGUAAUGAAAGUGAACGGAGGUGGGAACCCGCAAGGGUGCACCAUCGACCGAUCCUGAAGUUUACGGAAGGAUUUGAGUAAGAGCAUGGCUGUUGGGACCCGAAAGAUGGUGAACUAUGCUUGAAUAGGGUGAAGCCAGAGGAAACUCUGGUGGAGGCUCGCAGCGGUUCUGACGUGCAAAUCGAUCGUCAAAUUUGGGCAUAGGGGCGAAAGACUAAUCGAACUAUCUAGUAGCUGGUUCCUGCCGAAGUU